rnacentral:rRNA from 1 species
CAAGGAAUAUUGCACAAUGGGGGGAACCCUGAUGCAGCAACGCCGCGUGGGCGAUGAAGGCCUUCGGGUUGUAAAGCCCUUUUCUAGAGGAAGAGACAAGGACGGUACUUUAGGAAUAAGUCUCGGCUAACUACGUGCCAGCAGCCGCGGUAAAACGUAGGAGACGAGCGUUAUCCGGAUUUACUGGGCGUAAAGGGCAAGUAGGCGGUGGGCAAAGUUGGACGUGACAUCUCUCGGCUUAACUGGGAGGGGUCGUCCAAAACUAGUCAACUAGAGGGCAGGAGAGGGGAGUGGAAUUCCUAGUGUAGCGGUGGAAUGCUUAGAGAUUAGGAAGAACACCAGUGGCGAAGGCGGCUCUCUGGCCUGACCCUGACGCUGAGAGGCGAAAGCUAGGGGAGCGAACGG